rnacentral:rRNA from 1 species
UAAAGUUGUUGCAGUUAAAAAGCUCGUAGUUGAAUUUCGGGAUCAAUAUAUCGGUCGUGCCUUCGGUAUGUACUGGUAUUAUUGGUUUCUCCUUUCUGACAAACUAUGAUGUCAUUAAUUUGGUGUCAUGGGGAAUCAGGACUGUUACUUUGAAAAAAUUAGAGUGUUUAAAGCAGGCACACGCUUGAAUACAUUAGCAUGGAAUAAUGAAAUAGGACGUUUGACCCUAUUUUGUUGGUUUCUAGGAUCGACGUAAUGAUUAAUAGGG